GGAGUUGUGCCCGAAUCCUAAGGACCACUUUGAUAGAGUGACAUAUAGGGGUUAAAGUCCCCUCAACUCCU
rnacentral:tRNA from 1 species